rnacentral:lncRNA from 12 species
GCAGGCUGGGGGUGCGGGGCCCUUAGUAACAGGGGAGGAUGGGAGAUGGUGGCUGAGGAGCUGUGGGCACUCACAGUGAAUUGGGAUGAUUGGAAAAACCUUGAGAGAAAUUAAUUCAGAGUCGGUCUGCAGUAAGCCCUGGACUGCACUGAGCUAGUGUGGAGUUGUUAUGGAGCGAUUCUUAAUUUUAAAAAUACUGCAGAUAUUUGCUUCACAGUUGUCAUUUUUUAUAGGGAGAGGGAGGCUUGCCAAAGAAGUUGAUGUGGGCUUUUCUGGGGUAUUACCCACUGUUCUAACAGGUGGGAGAUGAAGGAGCAGGACACUUUGUGAAGAUGGUGCACGAUGGGAUAGAGUACGGCGAUAUGCAGCUCAUCUGUGAGGCUUACCACCUGAUGGAAGAUGUGCUGGGCAUGGAGCAUAACAAGAUGGCAGAGGACAAAGUGCUGUUUUGGAUGGAAUACAAAGUCAGCCUGAUGGUCACACCCUUCACAAAGACAACCAGUCCUUCCUUGGCCAUGUUAUAUCAGGUAGAACCCCUGGCCUCUCUGUUCCAUUCUCCUUCGCCUUUGUCCCCAUUUCUAUAG